UACGUAGGGCGCAAGCGUUGUCCGGAUUCACUGGGUGUAAAGGGUGCGCAGGCGGACUGGCAAGUCAGGGGUGAAAUCUCACAGCUCAACUGUGAAACUGCCUUUGAUACUGCUGGUCUUGAGUCAGGGAGGAGGUUGAUGGAAUUCCAGGUGUAGCGGUGAAAUGCGUAGAUAUCUGGAAGAACACCGGUGGCGAAGGCGGUCAACUGGCCCUGAACUGACGCUCAGGCACGAAAGCGUGGGGAUCGAAACAGGAUUAGGAUAACCCUUGU
rnacentral:rRNA from 1 species